rnacentral:lncRNA from 1 species
AUUGACCAAUUUUAUUUAAAAUGAUUCAAAAUAAGCCAUUAUUAGAAAUAACUAUAUUGAUUUAACUAAAACUAAAGAUGAAUUAGUAAGUUCAAUUACGAUUUCAAUUAAUCUCAUGGUAAAAAUGGUGUAUUGAUAAAUGAUGAUUUGUUAUUGUUUCUAUUGAAUAAAUCUUACUAUUGAUUUAUUUUUUUAACAAAUGAACAAUCUGUUGCAACAAA